rnacentral:lncRNA from 10 species
GCAGCAGGCAGCAGCUGGCUGUGUGGACUCAGGGACAGCUGGAAGGAGUUGUGCUAAUGCCCACCCCCAGCUUUGGAAGGCGGGGGCAAGCUGACUGCCCUCUCUGUGCCUGGGGACAGGGGAGACUUGCAGAGAGCUGAAACCCUAAGCCAUAAAACCGCCAUUUGUUCCAGAGAGAAAAGCCAGUUUUUCAAUUCCAGCCCAACCAGGAGGGUGGGCCAAGCUCAGAGAAAGAAGAGUGGACUGAGAGCACGAGUCCUUCCACGGCAGCCUGCCUCGGGCGGGACAGGCUGCAGUGGCUCUGGCUGUCCACUGGGAGUGUCCUUGGUGAGGGAGGAAAGAAGGCAAAGCCACAUCUGAAGUCUCUCGGCCAGAAGAACCCUCUGUUCUGAGGCCAACAGGUAGCCCUGGUAUAAGGAGAAGGUGGAAAAUACAGGCACCAGAACCUUCUCUGCUGCUUAUGGCUUCAUAGAAUGUUUUGCAGGUGACAUUUCACAUAAGUGGGCACCAGCCUGUCUGUCUUUGAUGGAAAGACAUCAGGAGGCAGGACCCAGGUCUCUGUCAGUGGCUUCCUGUCAGAGUGGCCAACACGGGAUACUUAAAAAUGUGAAGAAGGAGACGUCGAUCAGGAUAAUACAAUGAGCCCUUGGCCCAAAUUUGGGAAGGGCCCUCUCUUUUGAUGUAUCUCACUACCUCAGCUGCCAUCCCUCUCCUGGUCACUUCUACCCAUGCUUCAGCCACAGCCCCACUUACUCCAGGAAGCCCUCCCUGAUGAGUCACCUGCAGCAACCUCCUGUCCUGCAGAUCCUCACCCCGUACUGCUCACUGCCUUGGCUGCUGCUCCCAAUCACUCAUAUGCGUGCCCAUGUCUGUCUGACAACUGGGCGCUCCCUAAUGGCAGAAGCACAUCCAUAUGACAUUUCUCAAAUGUUCCCUAUAGUACAGGGAACCCAGAGCACGUCCAAUGACGUUGGGAUGUGAGCCUGCAGAGCUUUUCACAAAUUUGCAGAACAAGCUGUGUCCUUCAGCAUCAUUACCUGCCCUCCCCCUCCGACUGAACCUGGAGAAGAGUCAACAGCCUGCUACCAAAAAUCCCCCACAGCCCGGACUCGGAUGAUUCGCCUACAAAGGCUGGGGAGCACAGUCCCAGGCUUACUAAUCUCCUCUCUACCCCAUCCCCAUUUUUUCCAGUCCCCAGAAAGUCCCAAUCAAUCUCUCAGCAAAUUCCACAGGAUCUGUCAGAUUCAGAUCCAGUCAACUGCAGGCCGAGUGCUCUUCGCAUCUCAUCUUAUCUACUGCAGGAAGCAACCUGAGGGCAGCAAAGAGGAAGACAGCUGGUAUGAACGGGCUCUGAAACCUACCAGCUGUGCGGCCCAGAGAAAGCUACCUAACCUCUCUGAGCUUCAGCUGCUUCAGCUGUAAAAUGCUACAGGUCACCACUGUCUGGGUUGUUUGCUACUACCUUCUGCUGCUGCCUGAGAAAACCUGGGAGACUGUGAUCACAUUUUUUUUCCUGUAGAGCUGCCCGAAUACAGCUCUUCUCAAAGCCUUGCAGCAGAGAUGAUACAGCCAUCAGCAGCUGAUCCUGGAAUGAGUGUUGAGAGCAGCACAGACCACUCUACGUUUCUGCUCUGACCACAGGUCUGGCCUAGAAUUUGCCCCUCCACUGCACAAUGCAGGUAAAAACCUUUAAAAAAAUAAAUAAAUGGUCUCUGAGCCUCCCAGAAAUACAGCACUUAGAAUGUUGUUUUUGGAGGGGGCAUGUGAUAAAGAAUGGGAAAGAUAAUAAAGUAGCCUGUCACCCAGCUCACAGGCAGGUGCAUGUGGCUGCAGGGGAUCGUUUAGUCAAUUUAAUGACAUAUUUGUUGAGUAUCUAUUACUGUGCCUGGUACGGGAUGGAGUGGGUCAGGGAAUAGGGGAGGGCACAAAGGGAGUCAAAAAGAAUAGAAAGAAAGCCGUCAAAGGGCUGAUGGUCUGGUUGAGGGAAAAAGACAGGAACCAUCUGCUUAGACAACACAGAUAUAAAGUGUACUUGAGAAAUUCAGAGGAUGGUAAGGUGCCUGCAAGUGGGGACACAAAAAUUUCAUUCAGACCAUGGAAUUUCAGCUAGACAGGGAAGGAUGGCCAGAAUUUAAACCUGGGAUGGUAUAGAA